GACAGAGGUGCCGAGCGUUAGGCGGAAUCACUGGGCUUAAAGCGUGUGUAGGCGGCGGGCUAAGUACCUUGUGAAAUCCCACGGCUUAACUGUGGAACUGCUGGGUAUACUGGUUCGCUUGAGCGGUCUAGGGGCGAGCGGAACAAAUGGUGGAGCGGUGAAAUGCGUAGAUAUCAUUUGGAACGCCAACGGUGAAAACAGCUCGCUGGGGAGCUGCUGACGCUGAGACACGAAAGCCAGGGGAGCGAACGGG
rnacentral:rRNA from 1 species